AAUAUUUACCAAAUGUUCCAAAUAAACGCACGCUAAAAUAAUUUAUUAUAAUGUACUUACAGCUUCUGCUCUCUUUCGCUUCAUUAUGUUUCACUAUACAGUCUAUACUUUGACUUUUCGCCUUUUCAAUUCAAAAUUUGGGAACUAUUCCACUCAAACGUCGUUCAACCAGUCGCCAUAUUUGAAACUAUUUAAAGCCCCCUCCCGCCAAA